rnacentral:rRNA from 1 species
UACGUAGGGUGCAAGCGUUGUCCGGAAUUAUUGGGCGUAAAGAGCUCGUAGGCGGUUUGUCGCGUCUGCUGUGAAAACUCGGGGCUUAACUCCGGGCCUGCAGUGGGUACGGGCAGACUAGAGUGCGGUAGGGGAGACUGGAAUUCCUGGUGUAGCGGUGAAAUGCGCAGAUAUCAGGAGGAACACCGGUGGCGAAGGCGGCCAGCUAGACCAGUUCUGACACUGAGGCGCGACAGCGUGGGGAGCAAACAGG